rnacentral:rRNA from 1 species
AGCGAACGCUGGCGGCAGGCUUAACACAUGCAAGUCGAACGCCCCGCAAGGGGAGUGGCAGACGGGUGAGUAACACGUGGGAACGUACCCUUUGGCUCGGAAUAACUUGGGGAAACUCAAGCUAAUACCGGAUAAGCCCUUAUGGGGAAAGGUUUACUGCCGAAGGAUCGGCCCGCGUCCGAUUAGCUAGUUGGUGAGGUAACGGCUCACCAAGGCGACGAUCAGUAGCUGGUCUGAGAGGAUGAUCAGCCACACUGGGACUGAGACACGGCCCAGACUCCUACGGGAGGCAGCAGUGGGGAAUAUUGGACAAUGGGGGCAACCCUGAUCCAGCCAUGCCGCGUGAGUGAUGAAGGCCUUAGGGUUGUAAAGCUCUUUUACCCGGGACGAUAAUGACUGUACCGGGAGAAUAAGCCCCGGCUAACUUCGUGCCAGCCGCCGCCGUAA